AUCAGUACACCCAGGCUACAGAAGAGGCUUGCCUCUAGUGCCCUCCGCUGUGGUAAAAAGAAGGUCCAAUUGGACCCCUAUGAGACCAAUGAAAUCGCCAGUGUCAACUCCCGUCAGCAGAUCAGGAAAGAUGGGCAGAUUAUCUGGAAGCCUGUGAUUGUCCAUCCCUGGGCUCACUGCCGGAAAAUUACCUUAGCCCAAUGGAAGGGUGGGCGUAUGAGCAUAGGGAAGUAGACGGGUACUGCCAACACUGGGAUGCCUGAGAAGGGAAUGAGAAGGAUGAGGAUCCUGUGACGGUGUCUCAGGAGAUACCGGGGAUCUCAGAAGAUUGACCCCCGUAUGUAUCACAGCCUGUACCUGAAGGUCAAAGGGAAAACAACAAGCGGAUUCUCAUGGCGCACAUCCACAAACUGAAGGCAGACAAGGCCGGCAAGAAGCUACUGGCUGACCAGACUCACUGGUCUAAGACCACAGAAGCACAAAAGUGCAGGGAGGAGCCAUUCCAGACUAAGAAAGAAGAGAUAUCUUUAAGACUCUGUCCAAGGAGGAAGACACC
rnacentral:lncRNA from 1 species